GAGCUGGGGGGGCUCGGGGAGCUGGAGGGGCUCGGGAACAGGAGCUGAGGGCGCCCCGGCGCGGCCGCUCGGGGCAGAGGAGCGGCGCGGACCUGCGGGCCGACUGGACCCCCCCGCCCCCGCUCUCUGGGGACCUUGCUUUCACUUUCCUCAUGUGCUGCUUCCAGCACAUUUUUAAAGCGGCUGUGAACACAGAAUAGCCCUGCAGCGGAUGCCAAGGCCGAGAGCCACGGCGACCCCCGCCCUGCCCCGAGGACGAACAGCCUUGCUUUCUCCCAGCAGAGCGGGCGCUAGGCACCCUUUCCUGCUCUGGCCGGCCAGGUCUGCGUUAGGUCAUUAGCCGUGGCCUAAUCAGGACGAUGCUAUGAUAAGGGAGGAAACAAAAUCUCUGUUGUCUAACUUAUUGAUCGCUUUAUGUUCACUUAAAUCUCUACCAACAAAGCGAAUGAUCCGCAGUCGCCCCUCUUGAAUCUGCACCCAGCAUGAUGCCCAGGCCUCCCCUGACCUACCUGUGCCUCUUCAGCACAGCGAUAACCACGGCAGGAUAGGAAGAACCUGAAGAACUGAAAGGAUCCGCAAAAACCCCUGCUGCAAAGGAGUGAGCACAUAGUGCCAUGGCCUCUUGGCAGCAGCGCAGCUACCCGGCUUCCCAGGGGGGGUGCCCCCGGCCUAGCAGGGAGCUGGCUGGAGGCAGCCGUGGGGCUGGCGGGGGGAGCUCCUGCAACUGGCUGCGGCCGCCCUGGGGUCUCCAAGGCCAGCCCCUGCACUCUUACCUGUCUCCCGGGCUCUGGUCCAGUCUCUCGUUGCCGCACAGGUCGCACGUGGGCCAUGAGAAGGCAGUGCUCUCGUCCACACCAACCACAGUACCUGGGCCCGAGUGAAAGCAGAAGCUGCAGCCCUAGAGGCAGCGUGUCCCCUCUCACCUUCUCCUUGCCCCUCAACGCCUGGGUGGUACCGUGAGAUUCCCCAGACUUUCUCACAUAGGAGUUCAUUUCAAUGUUCCCAAGUUUUUUAUAAUUUCCAUGUACUGCACAAACAAAACUACAACAAUAAAAAGUAAGUCUUAAAACUUG